rnacentral:rRNA from 1 species
CAAGUCGAGCGGCAAGGGGUAGCAAUACCCCCUAGAGCGGCGGACUGGUGAGUAACGCGUGGGUGACCUACCCUUAGGUUGGGGAUAGCCAUUAGAAAUAGUGGGUAAUACCGAAUAUGGUUGUUUUGCUAUGGCGAGACAAAGAAAGGAGCCUUGGCUCCGCCUGAGGAUGGGCCCGCGUCCCAUUAGGUAGUUGGUGAGGUAAAGGCCCACCAAGCCCGAGAUGGGUAGCCGGCCUGAGAGGGUGAACGGCCACACUGGGACUGAGAUACGGCCCAGACUCCUACGGGAGGCAGCAGCUAAGAAUAUUCCGCAAUGGACGAAAGUCUGACGGAGCGACGCCGCGUGUAUGAAGAAGGCCGAAAGGUUGUAAAGUACUUUUCUUGCUGAAGAAUAAGCGUGGGAGGGAAUGCCCGCGUGAUGACGGUAAGCAAGGAAUAAGCCCCGGCUAAUUACGUGCCAGCAGCCGCGGUAACACGUAAGGGGCGAGCGUUGUUCGGAAUUAUUGGGCGUAAAGGGCGCGUAGGCGGUUACGUAAGUCUGGCGUGAAAGGCAGGGGCUUAACUCCUGGACUGCGCUGGAAACUGCAUAACUUGAGUCAUGGAGGGGGAGUUGGAAUUCCUGGUGUAGGGGUGAAAUCUGUAGAUAUCAGGAAGAACACCGGUGGCGAAGGCGAACUUCUAGCCAAUGACUGACGCUGAGGCGCGAAA